rnacentral:rRNA from 1 species
UGCCAGCCGCCGCGGUAAUACGGAGGGGGCGAGCGUUGUUCGGAAUUACUGGGCGUAAAGGGCGCGUAGGCGGCCUUGUCAGUCAGGCGUGAAAGCCCCGGGCUCAACCUGGGAUGUGCGUUUGAUACUGCGAGGCUAGAGACCGGAAGAGGAUGGCGGAAUACCCAGUGUAGAGGUGAAAUUCGUAGAUAUUGGGUGGAACACCAGUGGCGAAGGCGGCUCCCUGGCCAAAGACUGACGCUCAUGUGCGAAAGUGUGGGUAGCGAACAGGAUUAGAUA